AUGAAGAACUCUCACUGCAGCAGUUUGCUCCUGGUGUGCUCAGUUCUUGUGCUCUGCCUCGUAACUGGAGACGCUAGGUGCGACAAGUUAAGCAGCAAUUUCUAUGCCUGGACGUGCCCCAGAGUGUACAACAUCGUCCAGCAGCACGUGUAUUCUGCCAUGAGGGAAGAGCUGAGGAUGGGGGCCUCUCUGCUCAGGCUCCAUUUCCAUGACUGCUUUGUCAAUGGCUGUGAUGGUUCAAUCUUGCUGGAUGGUGCUGAUGGCGAGAAAUUUGCACUACCCAACAUGAACUCUGUCAGAGGGUACGAGGUCAUCGACGCAAUCAAGGCCGACCUCGAGAACAUGUGCCCCGGGGUGGUGUCCUGUGCUGACGUUGUAGCCCUUGCAGCUGGCUAUGGAGUACUCUUUAGUGGAGGGCCUUACUAUAAUGUUCUUCUGGGGAGAAGGGACGGUCUGAAGGCGAAUCAGUCAGGAGCUGGCAACGGCCUGCCCUCGCCAUUUGAACCGAUUAGCUCCAUCGUAAAGAAGUUUGCCGAUGUCGGCCUCGACACGAAAGACGUGGUGGUCCUGUCAGGUGCCCACACGAUCGGGCGAGCCCGGUGCGUGCUGUUCAGCGACCGGCUGGCGUCCACCAAGAGCUCGGAAAACCCGACGCUGGACGCCACCAUGGCCGCCAGCCUGCAGAUGCUCUGCACCGGCGGCGACGGCAACCAGACCACCGCGCUGGACGUCAGCUCCGCGGACGUGUUUGACAAGCAGUACUACCACAACCUGCUGAGCAAGAAGGGCCUCCUGACGUCCGACCAGGGCCUCUUCUCCGCGGACGAGGACGUGGUCGUCAGCACCACCAAGGCGCUGGUACAGACGUACAGUGACGACGGCGAGCAGUUCCUCUCGGACUUCGGCGCGUCCAUGCUGAAGAUGGGGAGCAUACCGUUGCCAGCGGGAUCCGCCGGCGAGAUCCGCUGCAACUGCAGGGUUCCCAAUCCCAAAUGA
rnacentral:rRNA from 1 species